GAUGAACGCUGGCGGCGUGCCUAAUACAUGCAAGUCGAGCGAACAGACGAGGAGCUUGCUCCUCUGACGUUAGCGGCGGACGGGUGAGUAACACGUGGAUAACCUACCUAUAAGACUGGGAUAACUACGGGAAACCGGAGCUAAUACCGGAUAAUAUAUUGAACCGCAUGGUUCAAUAGUGAAAGACGGUUUUGCUGUCACUUAUAGAUGGAUCCGCGCCGCAUUAGCUAGUUGGUAAGGUAACGGCUUACCAAGGCAACGAUGCGUAGCCGACCUGAGAGGGUGAUCGGCCACACUGGAACUGAGACACGGUCCAGACUCCUACGGGAGGCAGCAGUAGGGAAUCUUCCGCAAUGGGCGAAAGCCUGACGGAGCAACGCCGCGUGAGUGAUGAAGGUCUUCGGAUCGUAAAACUCUGUUAUUAGGGAAGAACAAAUGUGUAAGUAACUAUGCACGUCUUGACGGUACCUAAUCAGAAAGCCACGGCUAACUACGUG
rnacentral:rRNA from 1 species